rnacentral:piRNA from 1 species
UCCNGAGAACUUUAUUGUCCCUACCUGGGA